UUCACGGUAGCACAGUGGUUAGCACUACUACCUCACAGCAAGAAGGCAGUUGGUUCGAAUCCGUCCUGGGACC